rnacentral:rRNA from 1 species
UCAGCYAGUAAUCGCAGGUCAGCAUACUGCCGGUGAAUACGUUCCCGGGCCUUGUACACACCGCCCGUCACACCACGAAAGUCAUUCACACCCGAAGCCGGUGAGGUAACCGCAAGGAGCCAGCCGUCGAAGGUGGGGGCGAUGAUUGGGGUGAAGUCGUAACAAGGUAGCCGUAUCGGAAGGUGCGGCUGGAUCACCUCCUUUCUAGGGAA